AUGGCCAUAUUACAUGGAAACACCAGUUCCCAUAUGAUCACCAAAGUUGAGCAACAUUGAGUCUGGUCAGUACCUAGAUAGGUUACUGCUUGGGAAUACCAGAUGCUGUAA